rnacentral:ncRNA from 1 species
AUACACGGGUUUGUACGUGGGUCCAAUUGUCUCCGAGAUAUGGGCUGGGCCACACACGUGCUACAAUGGCAAUGAUCAUAGGAAGCAGGGCUGUAAGUCAGAGCGAAUCCGAAAAGAUUACCUCAGUUCGGAUUGUUCUCUGCAACUUGGGAACAUGAAGUUGAAAUCGCUAGUAAUCGCGGAUCAGCAUGCCACGGUGAAUAUGUACC